CUGCGGGUAGGUGGGGGCUUGUCGGCUUGUCGCGCCCACGCGGCGAAGCCGCAGUUCGGCACGGCCCCGCGCCCC
rnacentral:tRNA from 1 species